AGUGGUGCAAUGCAGCAAGCAGGGUGGAAAGGAGUCUCCUCUGGAUAAAGUCCUGUGACUCAUUUAAAAAGACUGAACAUCACUUUGACGUACACAAACAGAACUAGAAAGCAGCUCAAGCCAAUGAAACAAAGCUUGUUUUGCAGGAAAACAUUAGGUAAACAUUCCUAGAAAGACAGAAGUGAAAUGCCUGGCAGGAACUACAGCAAGCAUCUGCUGCUCAGUGGUUAAAGAUUGCCCAGCAAAGUCAAGGGGACGUGAGAAGAGACCAAGGCUGAAGCUGAGGUCAUACCUGAGGAUCUUUCUACAUUCCUCCAAAGGGUGGAAAUACCACCCUACCACACAUUCUCCUAAAUCAUAUGGGAGAUCUUCAGCUGAGUCACUGUAGAAGAGCAAUGUAGAAAUUUCCAAAGCUGGAAGGAGCAAAGUUUUACAGACAUCCUAUUAUGUUCAACUUACAUAAUCUCAGUAUUUAGCUGCUUAGAUAAUAUAGUGAUAGAGCUUUAUGGAAUUAAAAGAGAAAAAGCUUCUCACAGAUAAUAUUGUAGCAAGAAUGGAAUUAGAGUGCUCAAAAAAUCUGUAAAAUAAGUCUCAUUUUCUUUCUGGCUUUAUUGGACAUUUCCAAGAGGGACUUAAUGCAACAAAGACGAUACCUCAACACCUAAGAGUGAUGACAUAAUUUAUGCUGAACUGUG